rnacentral:lncRNA from 1 species
GGGAGUGUAGAGGGCUGCUUGCUGGCUACACAUGGGCUUGCAUUCUUCAAGCCAUUCAUUCAGCAAGUACUUACUAAGCUGCUACUAUAUGCCAGGCACCCAUCUAGGCACUGGGGAUAUAGCAGGAAAGAAAUCCUCUUCAAGGAACUUCAAAUGUGACCAUUUGACAUGAAAUGUGUCAUGAUGGGAAUAGAGCACCGGCUUAGAAAGGGCUCUUGUGCCUGAGGGGCUGGUGAGGUGAAGAGAAACUUUCUGGGGGAGAGAAUUACGGGGCCAAGCCCUGGGCCUGAGAAGGGGUCUCUUGGUGAACAGAGGCAGGGAAUAAGAGGGGGAAGCAAGGUAAGACCAUCUGGGACAGUGUGGCAUGGGGAGGGAACAGGUGACCAGACAGGUGGCAGGACCUCAUCCCACUGGAUGCUCUGCUGGUGCCUUUGCCUGAAGUGCAGUUUGCCACGGAUCAGAUCCAAGCUACAGUUGCGAUCUGUGCUACAGUUGGGUCAAUGCCGAAUCCUUAACCCAGCUGGAGAAUUGAAACUGCGUCCCAGCACUCCAGAGAUGCCACCCAUCCGACUGCACCACAGUGGGUAUUCUGAGUUUUUUCUAAAUUUCCCUUAAAAACACGCUUGUUUAAAUUAAAGUGCUUAUUAUAAUUAUAUAUAAAAUAACAUAUCAUCAUAGUUGAAUAUUUGGAAGAUAUAAAGUGGCAUGAAGAAUUAAAAUUUAUUCAUAAUUCAUAAUUCCACCAUCCAGGAAAGCUUCCUUCCUUUGAGCUCUCCUUUUUACCAUUCUAUUAAAAAACCUACAUGGGGAGUUCCCGUCAUAGUGCAGUGGUUAACGAAUCCAACUAGGAACCAUGAGGUUGGGGGUUCGAUCCCUGGCCUCGCUCAGUGGGUUGGGGAUCCGGCAUUGCCAUGGGCUGUGGUGUAGGUCAUAGAUGCAGCUUGGAUCUGGCAUUGCUGUGGCUAUGGUGUAGGCCAGCAGCUAUAGCUCCGAUUAGACCCCUAGCCUGGGAACCUCCAUAUGCCACGGGUGUGGCCCUAAAAAGACAAAAAGACCAAAAAUAAAUAAAUAAAUAAAUAAAUAAAUAAAAUAAUA